GACGAACGCUGGCGGCGUGCUUAACACAUGCAAGUCGAACGGAAAGGCCCUGCUUUUGUGGGGUGCUCGAGUGGCGAACGGGUGAGUAACACGUGAGUAACCUGCCCUUGACUUUGGGGUAACUUCAGGAAACUGGGGCUAAUACCGGAUAGGAGCUCCUGCUGCAUGGUGGGGGUUGGAAAGUUUCGGCGGUUGGGGCUGGACUCGCGGCUUAUCCGCUUGUUGGUGGGGUAGUGGCUUACCAAGGCUUUGACGGGUAGCCGGCCUGAGAGGGUGACCGGCCACAUUGGGCCUGAGAUACGGCCCAGACUCCUACGGGAGGCAGCAGUGGGGAAUAUUGCACAAUGGGCGGAAGCCUGAUGCAGCAACGCCGCGUGCGGGAUGACGGCCUUCGGGUUGUAAACCGCUUUCGCCUGUGACGAAGCGUGAGUAACGGUAAUGGGUAAAGAAGCACCGGCUAACUACGUG
rnacentral:rRNA from 1 species